rnacentral:tRNA from 1 species
CGGGAUGUAGCGUAGUUUGGUAGCGCAUCUGCUUUGGGAGCAGAGGGUCACAGGUUCAAAUCCUGUCAUCCCGA